AUUGUGCUUUUCUCUUCUGAAAAGAAUCUCUUGCUUUCGCAGCUAGCAUUGCUCCCAUAUCUCCCGUAGCCUCUCUCCUUUACAUGAUUCAAUAGAAACCCAUUGCUAAUCAAUUAUGGAAGUAGAAAUACAAUCACAUACUACCAGCACAGCCCUUAUACAAGAUAAGCUAACCCAAAACCGAGAACCCACUACGCAAACCCCACCAAAUAUGCCUCAAGAACUCCCUAUCACCACCAUCAAAUUACCAAAGAAGCUUACUCUCGUCCCUCUCAUAUUCUUAAUCUAUUUUGAAGUCGCUGGUG
rnacentral:misc_RNA from 1 species